rnacentral:rRNA from 1 species
AACGAACGCUGGCGGCGUGCCUAACACAUGCAAGUCGAACGGAAUUAAAGAGCUUGCUCUUUGAUUUAGUGGCGCACGGGUGAGUAACGCGUAGAUAAUCUGCCUGACGAUCUGGGAUAACACUUCGAAAGAGGUGCUAAUACCGGAUAAGCCCACGGAUUCUUUGGAAUCUGCGGGAAAAGGGGGGGACCUUCGGGCCUUCUGUCGUCAGAUGAGUCUGCGUACCAUUAGCUAGUUGGUAGGGUAAAGGCCUACCAAGGCGACGAUGGUUAGCUGGUCUGAGAGGAUGAUCAGCCACACUGGAACCGAGACACGGUCCAGACUCCUACGGGAGGCAGCAGUGGGGAAUUUUGCGCAAUGGGCGAAAGCCUGACGCAGCAACGCCGCGUGAGUGAUGAAGGCUUUCGGGUCGUAAAGCUCUGUCAAUGGGAAAGAAGUGUAUUUUGGCUAAUAUCCUUAAUACUUGACGGUACCCAUAAAGGAAGCACCGGCUAACUCCGUGCCAGCAGCCGCCGUAACAC